AAACAAUGGUGUGGACAAUUUAUCAUUGAUUCCUUGUAUCUUUCCCAUGCUUCAUACAAGGAUUCACUGUCGCUUUGCACAAAUGAAGUGAUAUCAUUUCUCAUUUU